GGUGUUUCCUUAACAAUGUGAAUCCGACGGUUGAUAUUUUAAGCCAAUCACCACAGCCGUUGGAUUGUGCAUACAUUCCAAUAUAAAUACACGACCCCAGGUCAUUUUUCAUCAUUAUUUACCGUUGCCGACAGAUCGUUUGUUUUCUUUCGGCCUCUCGCAACCUUUAUCAUAGAUCUCUUGUUUUCUUGUUGAUCUUUUCUUCUUGAUUUUUCUCAAACAAAUUUCGACCGUACCGUUUCUUGAUUUACGUUUCGGUAACUCGUUUCUUUUCCCGCUCAAAGUUUCGCGGCCAAUGUUGUCUAUGUCACAUGUUCAGUUUCUCGUUUUCGUUUCGGAUCGGAUAAGUUUGAGCGAUCCGAUCCGCAAAUCGGAAAUCGUUCUUCCUGAAUCCAGUUUCGUUUCCGAUUUCUGUUCACAUAACAUCAGCUCAAUCUCAAUUUCUUAUCCGAUCGGGAAAGACCGGAAAUCUUCCCUUAUGAAUUUUACCGGUCGUGGCUCUGGAUCUGUUCAUACCGAAACGUAACAAUCUCGUUUCCAUUUCGAAUCGGGAAAGAUCGGAAUAUUCUCCCUCAUCAAUCCGUCAAGACGAUAAACCGUCGCUAAUUGUCAACGGAGUAAUUGCUUAAUUUUGCUCGUACGAUUCUCUGCUUAACUUGCUUGGAUUGUGAUGAAGACGAUGGAUGAUCCACAUAAUCAUGAAACUGAUACUCUCUUUGUAAGUUGUUAUAAUAAUUUAAUCAUGAAGACAAUGGAUCUAGGCUGACCGAGGGAAGCUAGGAAAGAGUGAGAUCCAAGGUAUAUGAUCUGUUAAUAUUAUGAGUGUUUGUUCUCAGACCUUUGCCAUUGCAGGUGCGCUUGCAUGGCAGGUCAAAAAAUCCCUAAUAAAUUUAUUUUUUUGGGUUUUGGGGGGAAGAGGCACGGGGUUAAUAUUUUUUUUUCCCGCCCGGCUCUUCCCCCUUCUGCGCGCGCGCGCGCUCUCUCUCUCUCUCUCUCUCUCUCUCUCUCUCUCUCUCUCGUUUAUUCUGUCUGGUCUAUGCUUGCAUAUCUACAUUUGCACGCCAAUCAUAAUUUGCUGGCACGGAUAAGGCCAACAAGGAUACCAAUCUGGCUUCACGGAGAAGGUAAUUAACAGCUCUCAACGCACUUAUUGAUUCUUUAAUUUCAAAAACAAUGUGCAGAAAAUCUAGAGAAAACAAAAUCAUUCUUAGAACAUAGUUAGUUUAACAACGAUCAAGAGAAACAUUCUCGCCAGUUAGUUCACAUAUAGUUAGGUUAACAGCAAACAUUCCAAAACCGUGUAUCUCAUCUUCUGUAGGAAUUAGUUGCACACACCGACAUCAAGAAAGCAUUUGCUAUUUAUUUGUCAUAUUCAUGUUUCCUAAUGGCUACAGAUAGAAAUGAGGUAAACUAUUGAAGCUCUAUUGGAAGCUCCUUUUCAAUCUAUCAUAGCAAUCGGGAAAAUCUACAAAAUGGAAUUGUUCCCACACAUAUACGAUAGUUGUAACAAAAAACAUUCCAACAUUGUGUUUAUAUAAAUUGUGAAGAUGUAGCAUUUUUUGCAAGGCCUUCAAAUUACCAUUACCUAGUGUGGAUCUGCGUUUAAUUUACAUGCCCAGUGCGCAUUUAUUUGCCAUAUUCAUGUUUCCUGGUGGAUAACAAUAUAAAGAAACACUUCUACUGUGCACUUAAGUCCCAUUUGAGUUUUACAUAACAACCAGGAGAAUAUCUCACUGAAUUGAAUAAAAGUUUUUAUGGGAAUUCUCAAUCUCUUCGAGCCGAGUUAUUUUUUGCUAUUAAUUUGAUUUUCUCCCGACUUGUAUGCUAUAUUUGGUAGUUUGAUUAUUUUGUCAAUAUGUGGAUGUGAGAUGUUAUCACAGUAUUCAAGGCAAAAUGUAUCAUUAUUUUGGUUUGUUUGUGUAAUGGCAUUGGGAGAGUGAUAGACAUGA